rnacentral:rRNA from 1 species
UACGUAGGGUGCAAGCGUUGUCCGGAAUUAUUGGGCGUAAAGAGCUCGUAGGCGGUCUGUCGCGUCGGCUGUGAAAACCCGAGGCUCAACCUCGGGCCUGCAGUCGAUACUGGCAAACUAGAGUACUGCAGGGGAGACUGGAAUUCCUGGUGUAGCGGUGAAAUGCGCAGAUAUCAGGAGGAACACCGGUGGCGAAGGCGGUUCUCUGGGCCUGUACUGACGCUGAGGAGCGAAAGCGUGGGGAGCAAACAGG